UGAUUGGUCAUUGUUAGUUCAAAGGUCAACAAGACGACGUCAGCUCGUAAGUUACUGCGUCAAGAUGGCACUGAAUAAGUCGCCAUCGACGACGCAUCCUAGCUGUUAAAGCGUGGAUAAACUCGCGAUGCCAACAAAAAGUAGAUGGAAAUCUAUUGGCAGACCAAAUAGUGAACCACUAAUGCCUAGCAAAAUACCAACCCUUCUUACGGAACCUGACAGAUCUGCCAGUGUUCCGAACCUGGGUUCAUCAAAUACCCAUACACCGAGGCUCUCCAUGACCGCCCACACAAUACCUUGGAGGCCAGGCAGUGUAUCACCUAAACAGAUGCAGUCUGGAACACAUCUACCAAAUCCAAAGCUUGCAAAGUUCUU